rnacentral:sRNA from 1 species
UUGCAUCUGAAGUCAAAGAGGAUGAGAACCUCCGAAGGAGGUUUGAGCCGAGCGCAGCGAGACAACGUUGCUUCAGCAACGGCCCGCAGGGGAAUAAUCCUCUCUCGCCGACCA